AAAUGGGGUUGAGUUAGUCUUGGGGUGAUAGAAAAUGGGGUUAAGUUAGGUUGGGGUGAUAGAAAAUGGGGUUAAGUUAGGUUGGGGUGAUAGAAAAUGGGGUUAAGUUAGGUUGGGGUGAUAGAAAAUGGGGUUAAGUUAGGUUGGGGUGAUAGAAAAUGGGGUUAAGUUAGGUUGGGGUGAUAGAAAAUGGGGUUAAGUUAGGUUGGGGUGAUAGAGAAUGGGGUUAAGUUAGGUUGGGGUGAUAGAGAAUGGGGUUAAGUUAGGUUGGGGUGAUAGAAAAUGGGGUUAAGUUAGGUUGGGGUGAUAGAAAAUGGGGUUAAGUUAGGUUGGGGUGAUAGAAAAUGGGGUUAAGUUAGGUUGGGGUGAUAGAAAAUGGGGUUAAGUUAGGUUGGGGUGAUAGAGAGUGGGGUUAAGUUAGGUUGGGGUGAUAGAAAAUGGGGUUAAGUUAGGUUGGGGUGAUAGAAAAUGGGGUUAAGUUAGGUUGGGGUGAUAGAAAAUGGGAGUUGAGUUGGGGUGAUAAAAGAAAAUGGGUUUGGGGUUGAGAACAUGGGGUCGCUGUGGGAGAGAAUGGGUUGAGAUGGUCCUGGGGUUAUUGAGAAUGGGUUUGUUAGGCUGGUUGAUUGAGGAUGGGGUUAAGUUAGGCUUGGGUUAAAGGAAAUUCGGUUACGUUAGGCUGAGAUUAUAGGAAUUUGGUUUUAGUGUAGUUAUCUCUCUCUCUCUCUCUCUCUCUCUCUCUCUCUCUCUCUCUCUCUCUCUCUCUCUCUCUCUCUCUCCCAUCCCAUCAAGGAAGAGGCUAAGAAAGAGUUGAAUUAGGUCUAGGUGCAAGAAAAUUGAGUAGAAACAGAUUAGAGUCAUAGAAUAUUGGGUUUAGUUAAGUAGGGGUUAAGAAAAAGGGUUCAAUUAGGUCUGGGUUAGUGAAAAUGGGGUUGAACCAGGUUUAGGUCAUAGAAAAUGGGUGACUAGGUUGUAGUCAAUAAAAUGGGGUUGAAUUAGCCUAGUAGUCAUAGAAAAAUCAGGUUCAAUUAGGCUUGGGUCAAUGAAAAUGGGGUGAGAGAG